AUGUGUGGAAGGUUGCGCACAAGCCUCGGUGCAGCGUCCCACAUGACCGAUGUGGUGGCACAAUUGCAGGAAUAUGUCGAGCUAGAGAAUGGGCGUGUUGGAGGCAACACAAACAAUGGCUUCCACGGCGGUAGCAGCGGCGAUGACCCGAACUUGAGCUAUGACGCCUACACCACUGAUCGGUCCACCAGUGUGAGCCAGAACAGCACUACAUUUGAGAUGGAGUAUAAUGUUAUCAGGGUGCCAACAAUGCCUACUGGUCCUGCUACACGUUUAUACUUCUAUGUCUCAUUUCCAGUCAGUCCUACAGGCGGUCAUCAAUUCUAUUGUUUUUUCUCCUUGAAGUGGUAUGUAUGUGAUUUUGAAAUAUUUUGA
rnacentral:rRNA from 1 species